GACGAACCGUCCUAACGUUGUUCGGAAUCACUGGGCUUAAAGGGCGCGUAGGCGGCCUUGAAAGUCGGGGGUGAAAGCCCACGGCCCAACCGUGGAAGUGCCUCCGAUACUGCGGGGCUCGAGGGGGGUAGGGGCGUGCGGAACUUCCGGUGGAGCGGUGAAAUUCGUAGAUAUGGGGAGGAACACCGGUGGCGAAGGCGGCCACCUGGACGGUCACUGACGCUGAGACGCGAAAGCGUGGGUAGCAAACAGG
rnacentral:rRNA from 1 species